rnacentral:rRNA from 1 species
UACGUAGGUGGCAAGCGUUGUCCGGAAUUACUGGGUGUAAAGGGCGUGUAGGCGGGAAGAUAAGUCAGAUGUGAAAUCCCAGGGCUUAACUCUGGAGCUGCAUCUGAAACUGUUUUUCUUGAGUACUGGAGAGGAAAGUGGAAUUCCUGGUGUAGCGGUGAAAUGCGUUGAUAUCAUGUGGAACACCGGAGGCGAAGGCGAGUCACUGGAACGGAUCUGACGCUGAGGCACGAAAGCGUGGGGAGCAAACAGGAUUAGAUA